CGCGUCACUAGGGAGUAAGGCUUUCUCACUUAUAUACCCAGCAUCCCUCCUGUGUUUUGUCGAUGUGGGACUCCUUCCUAAGUUGGGGUGUUACAUACUAACCCCUUACGGACUCAGCGUGAGCUGCUCUGAUACCAUUCUGUCACGACCCGGCCCUAGGCCUUGGCCGCGACGGGCAUCCCGAACCACACAGGCCCGAGAUACCCCUGUCUCUGGGCAACCCACUAGUGAUAUUGUCCGCUCUGGGCCUAGGUCCGCACGGCUUUAAAACGCGUCACUAGAGUGUAAGACUUUCUCACUUAUAUACCCAUCAUGCCUCCUGUGUUUUGCCGAUAUGGGACUCCUUCCUAAGUUGAUAUGUUACAUACAAGUGUUACAAUAUGAUGUUCUGAAAAGUUUAAUAAUUUGAAAUAAAUUCAUUAUGAGAUGUUUCUGCAUUUUUUUAUUUUCAGAUAGUUAAUACUAUGAGAGUUAUAAAUUGAAUGCAAUUUCAUGAAACUUAAAGGUGGAAAAAAGCGGAGUGAGGUGGUGUAGGUAUAUGCGGGUGCGCUGCGCGUCAAAUUGAUGCGGAUAAAAAUACAAUGAAAUGUUGGAAAGGAUGGAAUGAAAUUUUGAGGGUUAAAACAGAACCUACACCACACUUCAGAUUCUGUACUAUUUUUCUAUAUUAUCCAUAUUUGUUUACUAAAUUUGAUUAUCAUGUCCUUUACAAUAUUGGUGGUUUCAUUUAAUUGGUUUUGGCAAAGAUAAUUACGAAGCCAAAUCUUUGUAAUAUCAAAACAUGCAUGAUCUCUUACUCUUUUAAUGCUAAUUUAUAUGAUAUGAUUCAGGAAAAUCAUGGAAGUAUACUGUAAAGAGUCCUGAGGGCCUAGCGAUGACCAUCAUAUGUUGAUUGACAAAGACUUUAAAAAUGGGUGAAAAGAAAAUGAGAGAUCAAUUCAGUGAUGGUAUGCAGAGAACAAGGAUGAACUAAUGUUCGCUUUGCCCCGAGUCAGACAGGACAAUUGUCUUAAGCCCUCAUUCUAAUAUUGACGCCUUCACCAUCCUUCUCCAACUGAAUGAAGUUGAAGGUAUUCAAAUGCAAAAAGACGAUAUAUAUCUGGGUGUCUGUAAAAUUCUCUCAAAAACCUGAGUUUAUGGGAUACGAGAAGGAGAGACAUUUCACACUCUACUUGAAUUUAUGUGAGAUGAGAGGAAAGGAAAUUUAACACUCAACUUGGGCUUAUGAGAGACAACAGAGAGAAAUUUAACACUUAACCUGAGUUUAUGAGAAACGAAAGAAAGAAGAUGAAGUGAUUGAUGGUGCUAGAUAAGCAUCUACGUUUUAUAUAUAACCAUGAAAAAUCAAAUACUAUGUAGCCAUAAACUUUUGUUUUAGCAUUAUGUCUAGGAUAUCUGAUAAUGAUAGUGUAGAGUUUUACAUUUUAAAGUUCUUUGAUAGAGUAUUAAUUGAUUGCUUUCCUAUUAAUCUUAUAGCAAGAAAGUGAGUUGAUUGAAAAUAAAUUUCAUUUUAAAUCAAUUAAAUAUAUGUCUUAAUAUUGUAUAACUUCAGACAAGAAGUUGAAAUGAUCAGUUAAGAAGUUGAAAGGAUUCUUCAACCUUAAAUUUUGAAUCACUAUAACAUAGUAUAUGCAUUCAGCCAUUUUUUAUCUCUCUUUUCAAAGCCUAAAAUUUAAAUUUUGUACAGUCUAAAUUUUAACAGAUUAAGUUUGAUAUAAAAAGGUAAACUAAGAAACGUACACCAAGACAUAAAAAUGCAAGAUUAUCUGUAGUUUCAAUUAAAGGCAUUAAUAUCAUUACUAUUUUGCUCUCCUUUUUCUUUUAAAAAAUUUUCAUUCAGUGUCCAUAUUGAAGUCACACUAAAUUUAAAUUUGUGCCGAAAAAUCACAAACUCUUAUAGGAUUAAUACCAUACCAUAUACAUAGAUAUACUAGAUUAUGAAACGUGUGUUACACGUGUAUCCCAAGUUAACUAUUAAAUAUAAAUUUUAUAUUACAAAUAAUAAAUUUUAAAUGGUACAUAUAUUAUUGAACUUUAUCUGCGCUAUAAAAUAUAAAUCAAAUCAAAAAAAAAAUAACAAAGUAUUUUCUUUAUGUAAUGUAUAAACUUGAGUUUAGCAGACAAUAUUAAAAUUUAUUCUUCUGUUGGUGGAAGUAGCAAGUAUGUGGUAAAUUGAUUGAGGUGUGUGUAAAUUGUCCAAAAUUUUAUCUUUACUAAAAUAAACAAAUAAAAAAUCUUCUUUUUGGGUAUUAUUUAAUUUAUGAAAAAGGACCUAAAAUGUUUUUCAACCAUGUGAAAUGGUAUAAAAAUGUCGUCCGUCUACCUAUUGGGUCUAAAAUGCUCUUUCUAUCUACCUAUUAGGCCUAAAAUGCCCUUUCCGUCAUCUAUUGGGGCUACUUUGCCCUUUUAUUUAAGAAAAAUUUACAUAAUACUACAACUUAUCUUUAUUUAACUACAUAAAAUCUGUAUCCUUUUUAUUAAUAUUAACCAAACAAAUACAACAACAACAACAAUAACAAACCCAAUGUAUUCCCACCUAGUGAGGUCUGGGGGGUAAGAUGUACGCAGUCCAUACCUCUACCUCUGAUGAAGAACCAAACAAAUAGUAUAAUUAUAUAUUAAAUUUUCAUAUUUCUUAUUUAUUGCUUAUUUUUAUGGAAGCUCUGUUCAUUCAUUUUUUUAUAUACAAUAUAAAAAAAAUUAUGUUUUUUAUUUUUAUUGUCUGUUCACGAUGCCUCCAUAAGAAUAUAUGGUAUAUUUGUACCAUAAAAAUUUAUGAUAUAUUUACAUAUUAUACAAAUUAUAUUUAUAUCAUAAAAAUACAUGAUAUAUUUAUACCAUACAAAGUAUAUUUAUACCAUAAAUACGUGAUUUAUUAUACCAUAUAAAUUAUAUUUAUAUCAUAAACAUACAUGAUAUAUCUUAGAUAUAAAAAGUUUAUACCAUGUAAUACUGGAAAUAUAUAUUAAUAUUUAAUAAAUAAGUUUUAACAAGAAAAGUACUUCCGACAUAAUGAGAUAUAGCAAGAAUAUUUAUCCCAUAAAUUAUGUAAAAAAUAUAAUAAUAAUUGGACAAUGACAUAAAUUAUAUUUAUACAAUAAAAAUACAUGAUAUAUCUGUACUUCCAACAUAAUGAUUUUUAUUUCAUGAAUAUUUAUCCAUAAAAAUUAUGGUUAACCUACUACAUUAGAAUUUAAAAUACAUGAUAAUCAAAUAAUACUAGAUGAUUAACAUACACGAAAAUAAAAAGAAACAUACACGAGCAAAUAAUAAAAUACUUGAUUUAUUUAAAAAUAUUUGGCUUUUGGCCAUAAUAAUAAAAAAUUCCAUUUACACUAUAAAUUAAUUUUUUCUUGGACAUUUUUAUCCUUUUAACUUAAAAAUUAAAUAUAUUUUUCUAUCACAUUUUCAAUGCAUUGAUUAUUGUAGAGGAACUUAAUUACAAUCAAUUCAUUGAAAAUUGUUUCUCAAUUUCCCUUAGCCUUAAUGAUAUAUUUCUGCAGAUUAUUUUUGACAAGGAAUACGAUGGAACAUACGGUUUGACAUACUCAUAUCUUAAUGAUAUAGCCUUAAUGAAACAUACGGUGGAAAUUCAAACGUAUUUUCAAAUCGAUUUAAACAUAAUUUUUACUAAUUUUAAUUCUCGCUUAAAAAAAAUUGUCUAAUUUAAUUCUUUACUAAAAUAUUUUUUCUCCACACUUAAAUAUUUUUUCAUUGAAACGUAUUUUCAGUAUUUGGAAACAUAAGGUGAUAAAUACGUUUAUAGUUUGCCAAUUUUCAUACAUACUCAUUAUUUGUUAAUUUCAGUAUAAUUUCAUAUUUGAAAGCAUAAUCAUUAUUUGUUAAUUUCAAUUUAAAUCUAUGUAAAUACGUUUUCAAAUACAUUUACUUAGACAGACAUUCUUAAUUUCAGUUAGUAUAAUUUUACACAUUUUCAAGUUAAGAAAAAAAAAUUAGGUAGAGAUCUCAAAAUUUUAUUUGUGACAGUGAAAGACAAUCAGUACUUUAGUUCGAAUUUUCUAAGUUUGAACAUAACAUCUCGACUCUAGCUACGACUGUUCAAAAUCAAACCGAAAUCAAUAAUCUAUAAUGAUAAUUUGGUUACUGAACUAGUGGUUCGAUUUAUCGAAUUACCACAUGUAAAGUGUGUUGAUUGUUGUUAUCGCAAUAUUUUAAAACUUAUGUUUGAAAUAUAUAUAUAUAUAUAUAUAUAUAUUGAUUUUAUUUAAGCGUAAUAAUUAAAAAAAUAAUUCAUUCGAGGUCAUUUUAGUAACAAAUAUAAGUAAUAAUUCAUAAUUUAUCAAAUCGGCGUAAUAUAUGGGCGAAAUACUUGUAUGAUUAACACUUAUAUCUCAUUCUCUUUUGUUCGACAAAUAUGAACUAUAAGCAUGAUUUUUAUAAGUGUCAGUGUUCAUCAGGUUUAAGGUAUAUUGAGUUAUCAUUAGUGCAAUAUCUUACAAAUUAUGCCUGAGAAUUAUUUAAAUAUAUCUUUUUGUUUUAUUUAAACAUAAUACUUAAAAAUAAGAAAGAGGUUAUUUUAGUAACAAAUAUAUGUAAUGAUUCACAACUUAUCAGACCGGCAUCACAUUGGGACGAAAGACUUGUACCAUCAAUACUUAUGUCUCACUCCCUUUGAUUCGACACAUAUGAACUAUAUGCAUGAUUUUUAUAAUGUAUCGAUAUUUACCAGUUCUAAAGUGUCAUGAGUUGUCGUUAUUGAAAUAUUUCACAAAUUACGUUUAUAAAUUAUUCAAAUAUAUAUUUUAAUUUUAUUUUAACAUAAUUAUUAAAAAAUAAUUAAUUAGAGGCCGUCUUACUAUCAAAUAUAAGUAAUAAUUCAUAAUUUAUCAAAUUCGCGUAACAUAGAAGCAAAAUAAUCGUACGAUCAACACUUAUGUAUCACUCUUUUUGGUUCAACAUAUAUGAACUAUAUGUAUGCUUUUUAUAAUCUGUCGAUAUUUACCAGUUCUAAAGUGUGUGGAGUUGUCGUUAUUGAAAUAUUUCACAAUUUAUGUUUAAAAAUAUUUAAAAUAAAGUUUAAUUUUAUUUAAAUAUAAUAAUUAAAAGAUAAUUGAUUGAGGUUAAUUUAGUAAUAUAUAUAAGUAAAGACCUGCAAUUUAUCAAUUUGGCGUACAUAAAGGCGAAAGACUUAGUUGUCGUUAUUGCGAUAUCUUACAAAUUAUGCCUGAGAAUUAUUUAAAUAUAUAUUUCAAUUUUAUUUAACCAUAUACUUAAAAAAUAAAGAAUUAGAGGUCAUUUUAGUAACUAAUAUAAGAAAUGAUUCACAAUUUAUCAAACCGGCAUAACAUAGGGGCCAAACACCUGUACCAUCAAUACUUAUGUUUCACUCUCUUUGGUUCGACACAUAUAACCCGCACGGCUUUAAAACACGUCACUAGGGAGUAAGGUUUUCUCACUUAUAUAUCCGCUCUGGGCCCAGGCCCGCACGGCUUUAAAACGCGUCACUAGGGAGUAAGGCUUUCUCACUUAUAUACCCAGCAUCCCUCCUGUGUUUUGUCGAUGUGGGACUCCUUCCUAAGUUGGGGUGUUACAUACUAACCCCUUACGGACUCAGCGUGAGCUGCUCUGAUACCAUUCUGUCACGACCCGGCCCUAGGCCUUGGCCGCGACGGGCAUCCCGAACCACACAGGCCCGAGAUACCCCUGUCUCUGGGCAACCCACUAGUGAUAUUGUCCGCUCUGGGCCUAGGUCCGCACGGCUUUA
rnacentral:lncRNA from 1 species